AAGUCGUAACAAGGUCUCCGUUGGUGAACCAGCGGAGGGAUCAUUACUGGAAUCGCAAGAUCCCACAACCCUCGCGAACCUACCGAAACGUUGCCUCGGCGGGCGCCCGGCCCCGCGCCGGGCGUUCAGCCCGCCGACGGCCCACUACUCUGUCUCUGCAGCGUGGCAUCUCUGAGUAUACAAAACAAGUAAAAACUUUCAACAACGGAUCUCUUGGCUCUA
rnacentral:misc_RNA from 1 species